CGGACGGGUGAGUAAAGAGUGAGUAUCUACCUUCGGGACGGGGAUAACCGCUGGAAACGGCGGCUAAUCCCGGAUAAGCCUACGGGUAAAAGGCAUCGGCAGCGCCGGAAGAGGAGCUCGCGGCUGAUUAGCUAGUUGGUAGGGUAAGUGCCUACCAAGGCAACGAUCAGUAGCUGAUCUGAGAGGAUGGUCAGCCACACUGGGACUGAGACACGGCCCAGACUCCUACGGGAGGCAGCAGUGGGGAAUCUUCCGCAAUGGGCGCCAGCCUGACGGAGCUAUACCGCGUGAGGGAAGAAGGCCCUUGGGUCGUAAACCUCUUUUCUCGGGGAAGAAAGAUGACGGUACCCGAGGAAAAAGCCUCGGCCAACUCCGUGCCAGCAGCCGCGGUAAUACGGAGGAGGCAAGCGUUAUCCGGAAUUAUUGGGCGUAAAGCGUCCGCAGGUGGCUUCUCAAGUCGGCGGUGAAAGGCUGGGGCUUAACCCCAGACCAGCCGUGGAAACUGAGAAGCUAGAGUGCGGUAGGGGUAGAGGGAAUUCCCAGUGUAGCGGUGAAAUGCGUAGAGAUUGGGAAGAACACCGGUGGCGAAAGCGCUCUACUGGACC
rnacentral:rRNA from 1 species